CAUUUAUACUAUUGCAACAGAAGCUUCAUUUCUCCAAAAGCUCUCUCUCUCUCUCUCUCACGUUUUCGGAGUCUAGGGUUUUACGGUUAUGGGUUUCUGAGAACGAUGUCGAGCGAAAGGGUUGCGUCCGUCGAGUUCUGUAAAGGCAUCAACGGCCUCGACAAGGUCGUCUUGCGGGAGGUCCGUGGAAGCUACGCCGAGGUUUAUUUGUAUGGAGGUCAAGUGACAUCUUGGAAGAAUGACCAUGGUGAAGAAUUGCUUUUUGUGAGCAGUAAGGCUAUUUUCAAGCCUCCGAAGGCCAUACGCGGGGGGAUUCCAAUAUGCUUUCCUCAAUUUUCAAGUCAUGGAACUCUUGAACAACAUGGGUUUGCAAGGAACAAGAUUUGGAGUAUUGACCGUGAUCCACCGCCUUUCCCUACAAGUAGCUCAAAUAAGGCUUUUGUUGAUUUAAUCCUCAAGCCAACUGAAGAAGACAUGAAGAUCUGGCCGCACUGCUAUGAGUUCCGUCUAAGGGUAACUUUGGGACCUGGGGGAGAUCUGAUGUUGACAUCCCGCAUCCGAAAUACCAACAGUGACGGAAAACCAUUUACAUUCACAUUUGCGUAUCAUACUUAUUUCUCUGUUUCUGAUAUCAGUGAAGUGCGGGUGGAAGGAUUGGAGACUCUUGAUUAUCUUGACAACUUACAGGAUAGGGAGCGCUUCACGGAGCAAGGAGACGCGAUAACAUUUGAAUCAGAAGUGGACAAAGUAUACGUUAGCACGCCAACCAAAAUUGCCAUUCUGGACCAUGAGAAGAAGAGAACGUUUGUUUUACGGAAGGACGGGCUUCCUGAUGCUGUUGUAUGGAAUCCUUGGGACCGGAAGGCGAGGGCCAUUGCUGAUUUUGGGGAUGAUGAGUACAAGCAUAUGCUAUGUGUGGAGGCUGCGGCUAUCGAGAAGCCCAUCACUUUGAAACCGGGCGAGGAAUGGAAAGGAAGGCAGGAGCUAUCUGCUGUCCCAUCCAGCUAUCGCAGCGGGCAGCUUGAUCCUCAGAGGGUUCUCAAGGGAGAAUGAAAGAUACUUGGUGCUUCCUAUGCAGGUUCUUCUUAAAUCCUCAACUUUACCGCUCUCUUGUUGUAUCACAUUCUCGGUGCUUGGCAGUUAGAAUUCUGGCCGUUGUUUUUUUAAGCUCACGGGUGGAUUCAGAAAGCAGUAACUCAUAUAGAAUAAAGGAUGCUUUCAAUCAAGCAUUAUGUGGUGACAUAUCCAAGAGAGAGAAAAAAGAUUAGCCUGAAUAAAGGCAACUAGCUAUUGUUUUGUAUAUUUUAGACUUGAGUACUGAAGCUUUAGAAGGUUAUGUGAAAUGGUCUAAUUCCCUUUGUUCUUAUAAACCAAAAAAAAAAAAUGCUGUAGGCCUGUUCAUGUUCUGAAAUAGGAAAAUAGAGAUGGUUUGAUAUC